GUUUCCAUAGUGUAGUGGUUAUCACGUUCGUCUUACACACGAAAGGUCCCCAGUUAGAAACUGGGUGGAAACA